ensembl:lincRNA
GGCAAAUGUUGACAAGAACUUGCCUAUCAACCACGGAAUAGAGACCAGCUUGAGACUCAAGAGACCUUCCACUCCGAUAUUCUUAACUGGCCUUCAGACUCUAUCAUCCAGUGAGUACAAGAGAGACUUCAGUCUGUCUCAGGUAAGAUUAUCUUUUGUUUUCUUCUCCUAAGUAAGAGCAGUUUCGAGAUAAAGAUGAGAUUGAGCUUAUUCUCCAGUAACUCUGACCUGUUGCCUUGAGUACCACUCUCAGGUUCCCAGAUGGUUUUUAUGUGUUCACUGGUUUGGGAUGCCUUUUCUCUGAUUGGGUUCCUCUCUUGUGCUCGCUCCAGUGCUAGUGAUUCCUUUGGGUGGAGUCACAUAUCAGAUAUUUACAUUAUGAUUCAUAACCAUAGCAAAAUGACAGUUAUGAGGCAGCAAUGAAAAUAAUUUUAUGGUUGGGGGUCACCACAACAUGAGGAACUUAAGGGCCACAGCAAUAGGAAGGUUGAGAACUACUGUUUUAGAAGAAAGAGCUGAGGAAACAUUUGUGGACGAACUUGCCUCAGUACUGUCUUUCUGUGUCUCAAAUCUAUGCCUUCAGAGAGCCUUGAUGUCAUCUCAAAACUAUUGGUAGAACUGGUUUGUGCACAGUUCUUCAUACUUGUACCAGAAAUACACAUGCGA